GGACUUCCCUCUGUGGACAUAAGAGGCCCUCUGUGACACGCGGUCAUUGCUCCAGACGUGUGAUGGCUCAUUAUGGGGUCAGGAUUGUAAAAAGAGGCAAUGCAGUGUUUGUCGCAGGCUCAAACGAGGGGUACCAGCAGGGAGAAGUCUGAGGAGACGCUCAGAGCGGUAAAAGCCUCAAGGCCCCGUGACGAAGAACUUCUGAAGGGUGACAUGCUCAGUGUGGAGGAGACACGGUUCAGAGGACAAUAAAGCUGCCUUUACUUCAGAAGAGCUGUCACAUGGGAACCAGCACAGGCCUCUUCUGGGCGGCCCCGCAGCCUAGAACCACAGCUGGUAUGAGAAAUCAUAGGGAGAGAUUUCUGCUCAGAGGAAGAAGUCUCUGGCAGCCAGCAUCUUCCAAAGCCCUGUACAGCCUAUGAAACAUUUUCACACAGUGCCUCACCCACAACUCUGGGAGUGUUUACUGAACAGAUUCAAUGCUCCAGUCACUGUGACAAUCAGCUGGGAUGCCAAGAUGCAUAAUACACAGUCUUGCCUUCAAGGAGUUGCCGGUCAGGCUGGGAAAUACAGAAAUGUUCAAGAACAAAUCACAAAGUGUAUCAAUAGUGCAAAAAUAAAAAGGUAUAUAAUGGAGAUUGCUCAGAGAUCCGGGGUGAUUAAUUCAGGCAGAGGAGUGGGA
rnacentral:lncRNA from 1 species